rnacentral:rRNA from 1 species
UACGAAGGGGGCUAGCGUUGCUCGGAAUUACUGGGCUUAAAGAGUCCGUAGGCGGCGCGGAAAGUGGGGUGUGAAAGCCCUCGGCUCAACCGAGGAACUGCGCUCCAAACUGCCGUGCUUGAGGAACCUAGAGGUGAGCAGAACUGAUGGUGGAGCGGUGAAAUGCGUUGAUAUCAUCAGGAACACCGGAGGCGAAGGCGGCUUACUGGGGCCUUUCUGACGCUGAGGAACGAAAGCUAGGGGAGCGAACGGG